UGCCCUUGCUGAUAGUUCUGAUGCUCAGUUGGAAAUCUCUGUUGGGAGCAGAAGAAAUCUCAACUGGGAAGAGAAGGGAAACCUAUGAUGGAAGACAUUGGACAGAAUCCACUGGAUGAUGUGUGCCAGAUGAUGGAAUUACCAUCAUUAGAAGCCAUAAAACAGAACCUUGACUGCCUGAAUUCAGACCUUGAAAAGGACCUGCAGAAACUGGAUAUGGAGAAUCAGAUUCUCCUUAGAAAAAUUAAAGAGAAAGAAGAAACUAUUCCAAGGAAAAAAGUAAUGCAAUCCUAAGCAGGAAUGUGGUGGAGCUUCAGAACAAGAUUUCAGGACGAUUUACAAAUGUCGGUUUUGAAAAAGAAACUACAGAGAAGAAACUGGAGGAAAUUAAGGCAAGGCUACAGAAGACAACAGAGUCCUGUGCAAAGCAAGAGGAGGAGCUGGCCAAGGUAGAGGCAGUGUCUCUUCCACAGAGGGUCUGCCCAGGAUAUAAUGAGAAAGAAACCCAAGGGUCUUAAAAACAGAUCUGAUUGAGGCAUGGGAGGGCGAAAAAUACCAGGAAGCUCUGAGGAAGAUGGAAGAGGAAGAGGAGGCACUGCUUCUUGAAAAAGAAAUAUCCAAAGCCCAGAAUGUCUCCUCUCAAAUAGUGAAACUGGGGUCAAUUUUGGUGGACACCACCCAAAACAACAUGGAGAAGACCACCAUUAAGAAACAAGAGAGAAUCUGUUGGUACAAGUAAGUGGAAGAAUCUUGCUCUUACCUAGCCUAGACCACAUUUCACUCUGCACAUUACCUGAUAAGGGCCAAAAGAACAAGGAUAAACAUAUCCACUGAUCAGAAUAC